AAAAGAAGUAAAAGUCGUAACAAGGUUUCCGUAGGUGAACCUGCGGAAGGAUCAUUAAAGUAUUUGAAGUUAUGCUAUCAGUCGCAAGACUAUGGUAUAUACUUAUCUUGUGAACUUGGUACCAUGUUAUAUACAUAUGCAGUCGCAUAUGUAUAAUUACCCUUUAUUUCUAUUAUAGACAAAAACAUACAAAAUAUAAUACAACUUUUAACAAUGGAUCUCUUGGCUCCU
rnacentral:misc_RNA from 1 species